CGGAACUAAUUUUUGAAGCGAGUGUGGGGGCUGUCGGGCGCUCCGCCAUUUCCUCUUGCCCCUAAAGCUGUUAAACUAAAUUAUAGGCCUGGGCGAAUGAGAGGCCAGCUGUGCUUCAGCUGCGGGCCCCAGUUGUUGUGACAAAGUGAAAAGUGUGGGCACCAACAGAUCAUUAACUGCGGAGCCAAAAAUAAGCUGAUGAUGGAAUCACAUGCUCUAAGGGGACAGGAGAACGGGGCCCGUCUAACGCGAGUGCUGGUUCCGGCCCAGGAGGGGACUAAGCCUUACCAGCCAGAGAAGUGUGCUUGCCGUGUGCCAGCAUUUUAUGUAACACGGUUUACCAUACGGUCUCUUGAGUCCUUGUAACACAUCUUUGAGGUUCCUCGAUGAAAAGAAGAACAACAAUCUCAGCCCAAGCAGAAGACACAGACUUGAAAUAUCACUUUCUUGGGAGAGCAGUCCCAUCCCAGUGUGACCAGCAUCAUGGAUCCAUCCAGCUUGGUUUAGAGAGAUGAUUAACAGGGAUAAGAGCACGAGAUACCCUUUGGUUCUCCUAAAGAUAUUUGCACUGCUCUCGAUUUAUAAGCUAUUCUUUCCUAAACAGUGUUGUGAGACUUUUGCAAUAAAAUGUAGCCCACCACUUUCCAAAUGUUUGAUCAAAGAAUUCUUCUUUUGAGGGGAGGAGGGUAAGAGAACUGCAUUAUUUGGGCUGCUAUGGAAUUCUGCUUUGGAGUCGUGCUCUUGGCAUACAGUAACAGAAGCUUAUAAAAGAGACUGAUGAACUUCACUUGUGUUUGUUGUACAAAUAUUAAGAAUAUGGUUCAUUUUUUAAAAAUCUCCUGUCCUUUUCAUGAGGAUGCAUGGGAGGAUUUUCCCUUCCUUAGUGCCAGAAAUAGUUGUGUUUUCCUUAGAAACUGUAUUAAUCUUACGGUCUCUUGUAACUAUAUGAUUGAUUGUCUUCCUAUGUGAAUUGGCUGACAGAAAGUUCUUUCCACAAGAAAUGUGUGAGUUCACAUGAAGCCAAGGUGGUCAAUGAACUUGAAAAGGUCAAGAAAACAGGAGGCUCAAGUCUAAUAUGGGUUGUACACAUGGACUUAAAGUCAACUGAUAUGAUGGUGGAGAGAGAGACCAUGAACCAGGUGAAAAUCCUUAACGGGACAGUUCGGAGAUUGAUAGUGACAGCGAUAAGGAAGACUAGAAGGGGGUGGAGCUGAAUGAAAUGAGUCUUAAAUGAAAAGUUUUUCUGUGAGGGAUGAGAAAUAAUUUUCUGAAUCUGGUAAUGGCAAUAAGAGGUUGUCUUCACCUUCCUAUGAACCCUAUGAAUUGCGGGCAUAGGAGCCACCUGCUCCAACCAACCAAAGAAAAUACUCUGAUUCAUCUCACAUAUUCAACUAAUUUAUCACUCUAUGCUUGGGAUCUUAAGCUAGAGAACUCUAAUUCAUCCUGUGCAACUUCCUGCCUUUGCCCCUCACCCAUCCCUGGGGUCUACAUCUGAAGUAUCUCCCAUCCCCUCCUUCUCUGACAUUAGCACCUCCGCCUUGGUUCAAGCCUUUAUUCAUCACCUCUUCUAUGGAUUAUUGCAAUAUCUGCAAGAGCCUCCAAACUAAUCUUCUUACUAUAGUUUAUCGAUAAUUCCACCAACUUCACAUUGUCACCAUAGUGAUUCUCCUGCAAAACAGACUUUGCUUUUCUGGUACCCCACACUGACUCCUUGCUGCCCAGAAGAAAGCCCCUGAGUGGGGCAUGAAAAGCCUCUGCCAUUUGGCUCAUGCCUAUUUCUAUAGCACCUCCCACCACUCUCUUGUCACUCCCUCACAAACCUCUACCUCAGUCACACCAAGCAUCGCUGUCCUCCGUCCUUGGCCUUCCUGAGCUAGUCCUGCCCUUUUCAUCUGUUAACAGGAAAGUGGAGUCUCUUCUGUUUUGUGAAGACUUUGCUUACCUCCCUCUCAUCUCACACCGGGAGAGUCAUUUCCACCAUCGUGUGGUCACAUCAUUUCAUUUAUGCUGUGAUUUGAGCUCUUACUGCUUUG